AUGGGGGCGAACGCGCGCCACCGCCACGACAAGCCGCGACCUCAACCUCGCUCGCCGACGCGACCCCCGCCUCCCCUCGGUGGCUCCCGGUUCGAACUCCUGGACGGAGUUGGUGACGACCGCCUCGGCGAGCCAGCAAAAUUUAAAGCAUUUAUUGAUCGUGUAAACAAUACUCCACUACAUGACAUUGCCAUACCAGUAUCAGGCUUCUGUUGGGAGUUCAAUAAGGGAAAUUUUCACCAUUGGAGGCCUCUGUUUAUGCAUUUUGAUACGUAUUUCAAGACAUGCAUCUCUUCUAGUAAGGAUCUUCUCUUGUCUGAUGAUAUGACUGAGUGUGAACCGUUGAUGCAGAUUUUGAGAGUUAUGCAAAUUGUGUUGGAAGAUUGCCAGAACAAAACAUCUUUUGCUGGCCUUGAGCAUUUUAAGAAUCUGCUGGCAUCAUCAGAUCCUGAAGUACUUGUUGCGGCUUUGGAAACUCUUGCUUCAGUGGUAAAGAUAAAUCCUUCAAAAUUACAUAUCAAUGGAAAACUAUCAACAGUGGAGCUAUAA
rnacentral:rRNA from 1 species